GGUUUGGUGCUGGGCUGGAUUAUGGUUUGAACCCGUUUGAAGGAGGUUCGAUUCCUUCCCAAAUCU
rnacentral:tRNA from 1 species